CUCGUCAAACACGGAAUUCCUGUUUUUGUGUCCAUUCUGGAACUUGUAUAAGAAAGUGAUAGCAGAGAGAUCAAAGACAUCAUCACAAUUCGCCACAGUUCGCCACAGUUCGCCAGAUAAGCCACCUGCAGGCACUGUUAGAGCCAGAAGCCAACUAUAGCUUCAGCUAGUUGCCAACAGCAAACUCUAGCUUCAGCCAGCAGCAUCACAUUAGCUGGAGUUGUUCGCACGUCCAUCAGUGGCUGUACGCCAAUCAGUGGCAGCCUGACCACGUGACACAGGCAGCCUGACCACGUGACACAGGCAGCCUGACCACCUGACACCAACACGGUGAGCAUGGGAUGACGUGGAGGGGGAAGAUGACCACCGUGCUACCGAUGUGCACUGUGCACUAGCGGUGCACUAGCGGUGCACUAGCGGUGCCCGAGUUCCCCGUGAACGGUCUCUGAUGGCGCCACUGGAUGUACGUCAGACCCGGUGUCUGCUGCUCUCGGCACUCAUCGUCUGCUCCUCCCUCUCUCACGGCCAGACGGCCAACCCAGAGAAGACCAUCAGCAGAAUUUUCAACGGGGUGGAAAGUUUUCGAUCCUGGUUCGUCGAGCUGGCCAAAAGUGUGACAGGAACAGGA